GAUCAGACAGAUCCAUACAAUUCAGCACAACUAAUUGUUAGGAUGCAAAUCACCGACUCCAACGACUACGAGCCCGUCAUCAACAUCGAAGGAUGUUUGGCAGAGAAUGAUCAGCAAGUUAACAUCUCAGAGUCCACAUACGGAGGAGGAGACUGUUUACCCUGUUUGGAUGACUGGGACUAGGUAGAAGUGAGCUACACAGAUAAUGAUGAAGACGCCCCAAACAACAUAGCUACAAUAGAGAUCAACUAUGACUACUCUAUGAUUUAUCCUAAUAAUGCUCCUGGUCAGCUGGAAAACUUCAUGAUGGAAGCUGCGUCUAAACCAAAUACGUUCAACCUUUGCCUCAAGUCUGACAUGGUCGGCAAUUUGAGUCGGACUGAAGCUUUGGCCUAUAA